ACAGCCCAUUGAAUGAUCGCUGAUUUUUCAGAGGAAAGUCCGGGCAGUGUAGGGUACGACAGUUGUUAACGACAACCGGGAGAAAUCCUAGGGAAAGUGCCACAGAAACGAUACCGCCUCUUUGAGGUAAGGGUGAAAGGAGUGGGGUAAGAGCCCACAGUUGCCCGCGGCGACGCGACGCAAGAGGUAAACCCUGUCGGCUGCAAGGAGAGUUUUGCUGAAAGGCUCGGCUACCCGUCGAAACUCGAUAACCGCUUGAUUUUUGGAGCAAUCCAAGAGCGAGAUAGAUGAUCAUUCUAGACAGAACCCGGCUUACAGAUGGGCUGUUGGA
rnacentral:RNase_P_RNA from 1 species